UACGAAGGGGCUAGCGUUGUUCGGAAUCACUGGGCGUAAAGCGCACGUAGGCGGAUUCUUAAGUCAGGGGUGAAAUUCCGGGGCUCAACCUCGGAACUGCCUUUGAUACUGGGGAUCUUGAGUCCGGGAGAGGUGAGUGGAACUGCGAGUGUAGAGGUGAAAUUCGUAGAUAUUCGCAAGAACACCAGUGGCGAAGGCGGCUCACUGGCCCGGUACUGACGCUGAGGCACGAAAGCGUGGGGAGCAAACAGG
rnacentral:rRNA from 1 species